rnacentral:rRNA from 1 species
CUAUACAUGACUCUGUGCAUAUCAAUAAGCGGAGGAAAAGAAACUAACAAGGAUUCCCUUAGUAACGGCGAGUGAAGCGGGAAGAGCUCAAAUUUGAAAUCUUCAAGGUUUUACCUUGACGAAUUGUAGUUUAAAGAAGUGUUUUCUGUUGAGGUUUUGGUAAAAGUUCUUUGGAAUAGGACAUCAUAGAGGGUGAGAAUCCCGUAUUUGACCAUUACUUUCAACUUUGUGAUACACUUUCAAAGAGUCGGAUUGUUUGGGAAUGCAGUCCAAAAUGGGUGGUAAAUUUCAUCUAAAGCUAAAUAUUGGCGAGAGACCGAUAGCGAACAAGUACCGUGAGGGAAAGAUGAAAAGAACUUUGAAAAGAGAGUUAAACAGUACGUGAAAUUGUCAAAAGGGAAGCGUUUGACACCAGUGUUGUUUUCUCGAAAAUCAAUUAAAAAUAGCUCGAUUUUGUAUUGCUUGAGACCUUAAAAGCUCACUGUACAUUUUUCGUGUCUUUUUUAAUGCACUUUUCGUUUAACAAGUCAACAUCAGUUUCUUUUGUUGUAAAAGGGUCAUUGGAAGGUGGCUUUCUUUUCGGAGAAAGUGUUUAUAGCCUUUGGCCUCUGCAAUCGGAGAGACUGAGGUCUGCAGCGUAGACUCUUCGGGGUUAGAUACAUUUGUGCUAAGUUAUAGCUUUUUAUAGACAACUUGUUGACUAUAAUUAGUCUUGUAGCUUACUCGCUUAUGCUAUUUUACCUACGCUUAGGAUGUUGACAGCAGUAUAGACUGU